rnacentral:rRNA from 1 species
CGUGUAGGUGGCCUGUUAAGUGGCGCGUGAAAGCCUGCGGCUCAACCGCAGGACGUCGUGUCAGACUGGCGGGCUUGAGGGUGGCAGAGGGUGAUGGAAUUCCCGGUGUAGCGGUGAAAUGCGUAGAUAUCGGGAGGAACGCCAGUGGCGAAAGCGGUCACCUGGGCCAUCCCUGACGCUGAGACGCGAAAGCUGGGGGAGCGAACGGGAUUAGAUACCCCGGUAGUCCCAGCCGUAAACGAUGCUCACUAGGUGUUGGGGGGUUACUCCCUCAGUGCCGCAGUUAACGCAUUAAGUGAGCCGCCUGGGGAGUACGGCCGCAAGGCUAAA